rnacentral:misc_RNA from 1 species
UUAGCCUCGUAACCCACAGCA